UGGGGAAUAUUGCGCAAUGGGGGAAACCCUGACGCAGCAACGCCGCGUGUGUGAUGAAGGCCUUCGGGUCGUAAAGCACUGUGAGGUGGAACGAGCCGCCGGGGGCUAAUACCCUUCGGCCCGACGGUACCACCAGAGGAAGCACCGGCUAACCCUGUGCCAGCAGCCGCGGUAAUACAGGGGGUGCAAGCGUUGUUCGGAAUUAUUGGGCGUAAAGCGCGUGUAGGCGGACCAUUAAGUCUGGUGUGAAAUCCCUCGGCUUAACCGAGGACGUGCAUUGGAUACUGGUGGCCUUGAGUCCUGGAGAGGGUAGCGGAAUUCCCAGUGUAGAGGUGAAAUUCGUAGAUAUUGGGAGGAACACCGGUGGCGAAGGCGGCUACCUGGACAGUGACUGACGCUG
rnacentral:rRNA from 1 species